rnacentral:rRNA from 1 species
GAUGAACGCUGGCGGCGUGCCUAAUACAUGCAAGUCGAGCGAACAGACGAGGAGCUUGCUCCUCUGACGUUAGCGGCGGACGGGUGAGUAACACGUGGAUAACCUACCUAUAAGACUGGGAUAACUUCGGGAAACCGGAGCUAAUACCGGAUAAUAUAUUGAACCGCAUGGUUCAAUAGUGAAAGACGGUUUUGCUGUCACUUAUAGAUGGAUCCGCGCCGCAUUAGCUAGUUGGUAAGGUAACGGCUUACCAAGGCAACGAUGCGUAGCCGACCUGAGAGGGUGAUCGGCCACACUGGAGCUGAGAAACGGUCCAGACUCCUACGGGAGGCAGCAGUAGGGAAUCUUCCGCAAUGGGCGAAAGCUUGACGGAGCAACGCCGCGUGAGUGAUGAAGGUCUUCGGAUCGUAAAACUCUGUUAUUAGGGAAGAACAAAUGUGUAAGUAACUAUGCACGUCUUGACGGUACCUAAUCAGAAAGCCACGGCUAACUACGUG